rnacentral:lncRNA from 12 species
GUGACAGUCUGACGAGAAAGAAGCUUUACUAGAAGAGUGUACCACUUGCAGAUUAUUUUUUUUCCUCUUUUGUGAUGAAAAAUCUCCUGUUGGGUAUUUAUCACCUGGGCUCUUCUUCAGGAGAGAGAACAGACUGGCUGGCAGCAGCUUCAGCACUAACAGCCUGUCAGGAACAGCUGCCUGACCCCCAAACUCUCCGCCCUCCAUCCCACAGGGGUAGAGCUGCAGAAGUGCCUGCAGUUCCUCCUGCAUCUGAGGCUGGCUGGCUCCUCAGCAGAUCAGCUCUGUGCAUGGCCAGGGGAUGUCAGCUGCCCUCCUUCAGCUGCCCUCAUCUCCUCACCUGUCAGAAAGGGCUGAGGCUGCCACCUCCUCACAGUCCAGCUGUGGGCAGUGCUG